rnacentral:rRNA from 1 species
GUUUGGCACCUCGAUGUCGGCUCAUCGCAUCCUGGGGCUGUAGUCGGUCCCAAGGGUUGGGCUGUUCGCCCAUUAAAGCGGUACGCGAGCUGGGUUCAGAACGUCGUGAGACAGUUCGGUCCCUAUCCGUCGUGGGCGUAGGAAAUUUGAGAGGAGCUGUCCUUAGUACGAGAGGACCGGGAUGGACAUACCUCUGGUGUACCAGUUGUCGUGCCAACGGCAUAGCUGGGUAGCUAUGUGUGGACGGGAUAAGUGCUGAAAGCAUCUAAGCAUGAAGCCCCCCUCAAGAUGAGAUUUCCCAACUUCGGUUAUAAGAUCCCUCAAAGAUGAUGAGGUUAAUAGGUUCGAGGUGGAAGCAUGGUGACAUGUGGAGCUGACGAAUACUAAUCGAUCGAAGACUUAAUCAAAA